CCUACGGGGGGCUGCAGUGGGGAAUAUUGGACAAUGGGCGAAAGCCUGAUCCAGCCAUGCCGCGUGUGUGAAGAAGGCCUUCGGGUUGUAAAGCACUUUCAGUGGGGAAGAAAGCCUUGGGGCUAAUACCCUCGAGGAAGGACAUCACCCACAGAAGAAGCACCGGCUAACUCCGUGCCAGCAGCCGCGGUAAUACGGAGGGUGCGAGCGUUAAUCGGAAUUACUGGGCGUAAAGCGCGCGUAGGCGGUCUGAUAAGCCGGUUGUGAAAGCCCCGGGCUCAACCUGGGAACGGCAUCCGGAACUGUCAGGCUAGAGUGCAGGAGAGGAAGGUAGAAUUCCCGGUGUAGCGGUGAAAUGCGUAGAGAUCGGGAGGAAUACCAGUGGCGAAGGCGGCCUUCUGGACUGACACUGACGCUGAGGUGCGAAAGCGUGGGUAGCAAACAGGACUAGAUACCCCAGUAGUC
rnacentral:rRNA from 1 species